rnacentral:rRNA from 1 species
CCUGAUGCAGCCAUGCCGCGUGUAUGAAGAAGGCCUUCGGGUUGUAAAGUACUUUCMSCGGGGAGGAAGGCGAUGYGGUUAAUAACCGCGUCGAUUGACGUUACCCGCAGAAGAAGCACCGGCUAACUCCGUGCCAGCAGCCGCGGUAAUACGGAGGGUGCAAGCGUUAAUCGGAAUUACUGGGCGUAAAGCGCACGCAGGCGGUCUGUCAAGUCGGAUGUGAAAUCCCCGGGCUCAACCUGGGAACUGCAUCCGAAACUGGCAGGCUUGAGUCUCGUAGAGGGGGGUAGAAUUCCAGGUGUAGCGGUGAAAUGCGUAGAGAUCUGGAGGAAUACCGGUGGCGAAGGCGGCCCCCUG